rnacentral:pre_miRNA from 1 species
CAAAUACUCCCUCCAUCCCAAAACUCUUUUCUUAAAUUUGUCUAGAUAUGAAUGUAUCAAGUCACGUUUUAGCAUUUAUAUACAUUCAUUUGUAGACAAACAUAAGACAAGAAUUUUGGGACAAGGGGAGUGAAAG